GAGAGCCGGAUGUGGGAAAACCACCAGUCCGGUUCGAUGAGGGGACGGGGUCCAAAAGGACCCCUCCUACUGUGC
rnacentral:ncRNA from 1 species